AUUGAACGCUGGCGGCAUGCCUUACACAUGCAAGUCGAACGGCAUCGCGGGAACGCUUGCUUUCCUGGCGGCGAGUGGCGAACGGGUGAGUAACACAUCGGAACGUACCGGCUAGUGGGGGAUAACCCGUCGAAAGACGGGCUAAUACCGCAUACGCUCUUCGGAGGAAAGCAGGGGACCUUUGGGCCUUGCGCUAGUCGAGCGGCCGAUGUCCGAUUAGCUAGUUGGUGGGGUAAAGGCCUACCAAGGCGACGAUCGGUAGCGGGUCUGAGAGGACGAUUCGGCACACUGGGACUGAGACACGGCCCAGACUCCUACGGGAGGCAGCAGUGGGGAAUCUUGGACAAUGGGGGCAACCCUGAUCCAGCAAUGCCGCGUGGGUGAAGAAGGCCUUCGGGUUGUAAAGCCCUUUCGGCAGGGAAGAAAUCGGCGGGGCGAAUAACCCUGCUGGAUGACGGUACCUGCAGAAGAAGCACCGGCUAACUACGUG
rnacentral:rRNA from 1 species